UUAUGGCUCAGGAUGAACGCUAGCGGCAGGCCUAACACAUGCAAGUCGAGGGGCAGCGCGGGUAGCAAUACCUGGCGGCGACCGGCGCACGGGUGCGUAACGCGUAUGCAACCUGCCCGUAACAGGGGAAUAACGGAGGGAAACUUCCACUAAUGCCCCCAUAUGGUCGCGGAACCGCAUGGUUCAGCGACGAAAGCCUUGGUGGUUACGGAUGGGCAUGCGUGGCAUUAGAUAGUUGGCGGGGCAACGGCCCACCAAGUCGACGAUGCCUAGGGGAGCUGAGAGGCUAAUCCCCCACACUGGUACUGAGACACGGACCAGACUCCUACGGGAGGCAGCAGUGAGGAAUAUUGGUCAAUGGUCGGAAGACUGAACCAGCCAUGCCCGCGUGAGGAUGGAGGCCCUAUGGGUUGUAAACCUUCUUUUAGCCGGGAGUAAUAAGGGUCCUGCGGGGUCCGAUGAGAGUACCGGCGGAAUAAGCAUCGGCUAACUCCGUGCCAGCAGCGGC
rnacentral:rRNA from 1 species